UACGGAGGGUGCAAGCGUUAUCCGGAUUCACUGGGCGUAAAGGGUGCGCAGGCGGUUGGGUGUGUCAGAUGUGAAAUCCCGAGGCUUAACCUCGGAACUGCGUCUGAAACUACUCGACUAGAGUACUGGAGAGGGAAACGGAAUUCACGGUGUAGCAGUGAAAUGCGUAGAUAUCGUGAGGAACACCAGAGGCGAAGGCGGUUUCCUGGACAGUUACUGACGCUCAGGCACGAAAGCAUGGGGAGCAAAAGGG
rnacentral:rRNA from 1 species